UUGGGUCGAUGAAGCGUUCUGCGACGAGAAUUAAGCCCCAGAUGCCAAAAGGUGUGAAUCGGUUAUCAUUGGCGUUAAGGACUUGCCACGCCCAUGACACGCCCUCUGCGAAAUUCCUCCCCUGGGUGGCGUACGGAUAAUAUUGCUGAUGCUCUUGCGAUGCUGCCGCAAAAUUCAAUCAAUAUAAUUGCAACACUUUAGCAAAGGACCUUGCCGGGAUCACACACAUAUGUACGUAUGGCCCACGUAUGCGACAUGAACUUCAAUUCACCCACACAUGCACACUUCCUAACUGUGAAUGUAACCAAGGCAAAUUGCGUAAACAAUGUAAAGCGUUUCAAAUUUAUACGUCGAACCCAAAAACUUGCCCCAAAGGAACCGGCGACAACAGCAACUGAUGACGAGCUAAAAAAGGAGC
ensembl:ncRNA lncRNA:CR45694 long non-coding RNA:CR45694